GAUGAACGCUGGCGGCGUGCCUAAUACAUGCAAGUCGAGCGAACAGACGAGGAGCUUGCUCCUCUGACGUUAGCGGCGGACGGGUGAGUAACACGUGGAUAACCUACCUAUAAGACUGGGAUAACUUCGGGAAACCGGAGCUAAUACCGGAUAAUAUAUUGAACCGCAUGGUUCAAUAGUGAAAGACGGUUUUGCUGUCACUUAUAGAUGGAUCCGCGCCGCAUUAGCUAGUUGGUAAGGUAACGGCUUACCAAGGCGACGAUGCGUAGCCGACCUGAGAGGGUGAUCAGCCACACUGGGACUGAGACACGCUCCAGACUCCUACGGGAGGCAGCAGUAGGGAAUCUUCCGCAAUGGGCGAAAGCCUGACGGAGCAACGCCGAGUGAGUGAUGAAGGUCUUCGGAUCGUAAAACUCUGUUAUUAGGGAAGAACAAAUGUGUAAGUAACUAUGCACGUCUUGACGGUACCUACUCAGAAAGCCACGGCUAACUACGUG
rnacentral:rRNA from 1 species